GUGAGGUAACGGCUCACCAAGGCAUCGACGGGUAGCUGGUCUGAGAGGAUGAUCAGCCACACUGGGACUGAGACACGGCCCAGACUCCUACGGGAGGCAGCAGUGGGGAAUAUUGCACAAUGGGCGCAAGCCUGAUGCAGCGAUGCCGCGUGCGGGAAGAAGGCCUUAGGGUUGUAAACCGCUUUCAGCAGGGAAGAAAAUGACGGUACCUGCAGAAGAAGGUGCGGCCAACUACGUGCCAGCAGCCGCGGUGACACGUAGGCACCAAGCGUUGUCCGGAUUUAUUGGGCGUAAAGAGCUCGUAGGCGGUUCAGUUAGUCGGGUGUGAAAACUCUGGGCUCAACCCAGAGAGGCCACCCGAUACUGCUGUGACUAGAGUACGGUAGGGGAGUGGGGAAUUCCUGGUGUAGCGGUGAAAUGCGCAGAUAUCAGGAGGAACACCAGUGGCGAAGGCGCCACUCUGGGCCGUAACUGACGCUGAGGAGCGAAAGCGUGGGUAGCAAACAGGAUUAGAUACCCUGGUAGUCCACGCCGUAAACGUUGGGCACUAGGUGUGGGUCUCAACCAACGAGAUCCGCGCCGUCGCUAACGCAUUAAGUG
rnacentral:rRNA from 1 species